ACAUGCCUACAACAUAUCGUUAAUGCACCGGAUCCCACUAAAAUUCCUCAGUUAAGCACGGUUGGGAUAGAGUAGUACUGGGAUGGGUGACCGCUCGGGAAGUCCUAGUGUUUUACAUGCC
rfam:Picea glauca, whole genome shotgun sequence.